CUACGGGUGGCUCCAGUGAGGAAUAUUGGUCAAUGGGCGCAAGCCUGAACCAGCCAUCCCGCGUGAAGGAAGACUGUACUAUGUAUUGUAAACUUCUUUUCUGCAAGAAGAACGUGUCCUACGCGUAGGACAGUGACGGUAUUGCAGGAAUAAGCAUCGGCUAACUCCGUGCCAGCAGCCGCGGUAAUACGGAGGAUGCGAGCGUUAUCCGGGUUCAUUGGGUUUAAAGGGUGCGUAGGCGGCCUGUUAAGUCAGUGGUGAAAGUUUGCGGCUCAACCGUAAAAUUGCCAUUGAUACUGACAGGCUUGAAUCCACGUGAAGUAGGCGGAAUGUGCAGUGUAGCGGUGAAAUGCUUAGAUAUUGCACAGAACACCGAUUGCGAAGGCAGCUUACUAAAGUGGUAUUGACGCUGAUGCACGAAAGCGUGGGGAUCGAACAGGAUUAGAUACCCCCGUAGUC
rnacentral:rRNA from 1 species